rnacentral:rRNA from 1 species
GAUGAACGCUGGCGGCGUGCUUAACACAUGCAAGUCGAACGGAGUGCCUUAGAUUGAGACUUCGGUCAAUUUCUUUGGUUACUUAGUGGCGGACGGGUGAGUAACACGUGAGUAACCUGCCCUUGAGAGGGGAAUAACACACCGAAAGGUGUGCUAAUACCGCAUAACAUAUUGAAAUCGCAUGGUUUUAAUAUCAAAGAUUUAUCGCUCAAGGAUGGGCUCGCGGCCGAUUAGUAGUUGGUGAGGUAAUGGCUCACCAAGCCGACGAUCGGUAGCCGGACUGAGAGGUUGAACGGACCACAUUGGGACUGAGACACGGCCCACGACUCCUACGGAGGCAGCAGUGGGGAA